AUAUCAGUCAUGCAUAGCAUAUCAAUAAGCGGAGGAAAAGAAACUAACAAGGAUUCCCUUAGUAACGGCGAGUGAAGCGGGAAGAGCUCAAAUUUGAAAUCUUCAAGGUUUUACCUUGACGAAUUGUAGUUUAAAGAAGUGUUUUCUGUUGAAGUUUUGGUAAAAGUUCUUUGGAAUAGGACAUCAUAGAGGGUGAGAAUCCCGUAUUUGACCAUUACUUUCAGCUUUGUGAUACACUUUCAAAGAGUCGGAUUGUUUGGGAAUGCAGUCCAAAAUGGGUGGUAAAUUUCAUCUAAAGCUAAAUAUUGGCGAGAGACCGAUAGCGAACAAGUACCGUGAGGGAAAGAUGAAAAGAACUUUGAAAAGAGAGUUAAACAGUACGUGAAAUUGUCAAAAGGGAAGCGUUUGACACCAGUGUUGUUUUCUCGAAAAUCAAUUAAAAAGAGUUGGAUUUUGUGUUGUAUUGACUUUAUCGGCUUUCUUCACUCUUUUCCAGCUUUUUUUAAUGCACUUUUCGUUUAACAAGUCAACAUCAGUUUCUUUUGUUGUAAAAAGGUCAUUGGAAGGUGGCUUUCUCUUCGGAGAAAGUGUUUAUAGCCUUUGACUCAUGCAAUCGGAGAGACUGAGGUCUGCAGCGUAGAUCCUUCGGGGUUAGAUACAUUUGUGCUAAGUUAUAGCUUUUCAUAGACAACUUGUUGACUAUGUUUAGUCUUGUAGCUUACUCGCUGACGCUAUUUUACCUACGCUUAGGAUGUUGAUCUACAGAGCGAGAGU
rnacentral:rRNA from 1 species